UACGUAGGGGGCAAGCGUUGUCCGGAAUCAUUGGGCGUAAAGCGCGUGUAGGCGGCCCGGUAAGUCCGCUGUGAAAGUCGGGGGGCUCAACCCUCGAAUGCCGGUGGAUACUGUCGGCCUAGAGUGCAGGAGAGGAAGGCGGAAUUCCAGGUGUAGCGGUGGAAUGCGUAGAUAUCAGGAGGAACACCAAUGGCGAAGGCAGCUCGCUGGGGACGGUACUGACGCUGAGACGCGAAAAGCGUGGGGGGAGCAAAACAGG
rnacentral:rRNA from 1 species